AACGCACCUUGCGCCCUUUGGUAUUCCGAAGGGCAUGCCUGUUUGAGUGUCAUUAAAUUAUCAACCUUGCUCGCUUUUACCGGCUUGAGUUAGGCUUGGAUGUGAGGGCUUUGCUGGCUUCCUUCAGUGGAUGGUCUGCUCCCUUUAAAUGCAUUAGUGGGAUCUCUUGUGGACCGUCACUUGGUUGUGAUAAUUAUCUACGCCGUCGGAUGUCUGCUUUAAAGGGUGUGCGCUGCUUCUAACCGUCUAUUAAGUUGGACAAUCAAUGACAAUUUGACCUCAAAUCAGGUAGGACUACCCGCUGAACUUAA
rnacentral:rRNA from 1 species